CACAUGCAGUCGAGCGGUAACACAGAGAGCUUGCUCUCGGGUGACGAGCGGCGGACGGGUGAGUAAUGUCUGGGAAACUGCCUGAUGGAGGGGGAUAACUACUGGAAACGGUAGCUAAUACCGCAUAACGUCGCAAGACCAAAGUGGGGGACCUUCGGGCCUCAUGCCAUCAGAUGUGCCCAGAUGGGAUUAGCUAGUAGGUGGGGUAAUGGCUCACCUAGGCGACGAUCCCUAGCUGGUCUGAGAGGAUGACCAGCCACACUGGAACUGAGACACGGUCCAGACUCCUACGGGAGGCAGCAGUGGGGAAUAUUGCACAAUGGGCGCAAGCCUGAUGCAGCCAUGCCGCGUGUAUGAAGAAGGCCUUCGGGUUGUAAAGUACUUUCAGCGAGGAGGAAGGCGUUAAGGUUAAUAACCUUGGUGAUUGACGUUACUCGCAGAAGAAGCACCGGCUAACUCCGUGCCAGCAGCCGCGGUAAUACGGAGGGUGCAAGCGUUAAUCGGAAUUACUGGGCGUAAAGCGCACGCAGGCGGUCUGUCAAGUCGGAUGUGAAAUCCCCGGGCUCAACCUGGGAACUGCAUUCGAAACUGGCAGGCUAGAGUCUUGUAGAGGGGGGUAGAAUUCCAGGUGUAGCGGUGAAAUGCGUAGAGAUCUGGAGGAAUACCGGUGGCGAAGGCGGCCCCCUGGACAAAGACUGACGCUCAGGUGCGAAAGCGUGGGGAGCAAACAGGAUUAGAUACCCUGGUAGUCCACGCCGUAAACGAUGUCGACUUGGAGGUUGUGCCCUUGAGGCGUGGCUUCCGGAGCUAACGCGUUAAGUCGACCGCCUGGGGAGUACGGCCGCAAGGUUAAGACUCAUAUGAAUUGACGGGGGCCCGCACAAGCGGUGGAGCAUGUGGUUUAAUUCGAUGCAACGCGAAGAACCUUACCUACUCUUGACAUCCAGAGAACUUAGCAGAGAUGCUUUGGUGCCUUCGGGAACUCUGAGACAGGUGCUGCAUGGCUGUCGUCAGCUCGUGUUGUGAAAUGUUGGGUUAAGUCCGCAACGAGGGCAACCUUAUCUUUGUUGCCGCGGUC
rnacentral:rRNA from 1 species